CCUACGGGAGGCAGCAGUGGGGAAUAUUGCACAAUGGGCGAAAGCCUGAUGCAGCGACGCCGCGUGAGUGAUGAAGGUCUUCGGAUCGUAAACCUCUGUCAGCAGGGAAGAACGGUCACUGUGCUAAUCAGCAGUGAAUUGACGGUACCUGCAAAGGAAGCACCGGCUAACUCCGUGCCAGCAGCCGCGGUAAUACGGAGGGUGCGAGCGUUAAUCGGAAUUACUGGGCGGAAAGCGCUCGUAGGCGGUAUGUCAAGUCAAGGGUGAAAUCCCCGGGCUCAACGUGGGAACUGCCUUUGAAACUGGCAAACUGGAGUGUGGGAGAGGAUAGUGGAAUUCCAGGUGUAGGGGUGAAAUGCGUAGAUAUCUGGAGGAACAUCAGUGGCGAAGGCGACUAUCUGGCACAUAACUGACGCUGAGGAGCGAAAGCGUGGGGAGCAAACAGGAUUAGAUACCCCAGUAGUC
rnacentral:rRNA from 1 species